GACGAACGCUGGCGGCGUGCUUAACACAUGCAAGUCGAACGCUGAAGCUCAGCUUUUGUUGGGUGGAUGGGUGGCGAACGGGUGAGUAACACGUGAGUAACCUGCCCCCUUCUUUGGGAUAACGCCCGGAAACGGGUGCUAAUACUGGAUAUUCACUGGUCUUCGCAUGGGGGUUGGUGGAAAGGGUUUUUCUGGUGGGGGAUGGGCUCGCGGCCUAUCAGCUUGUUGGUGGGGUGAUGGCCUACCAAGGCUUUGACGGGUAGCCGGCCUGAGAGGGUGACCGGUCACAUUGGGACUGAGAUACGGCCCAGACUCCUACGGGGGGCAGCAGUGGGGAAUAUUACACAAUGGGCGCAAGCCUGAUGCAGCGACGCCGCGUGAGGGAUGGAGGCCUUCGGGUUGUGAACCUCUUUCGCUCAUGGUCAAGCCGCAACAAUGGUUGUGGUGAGGGUAGUGGGUAAAGAAGCGCCGGCUAACUACGUG
rnacentral:rRNA from 1 species